GGGUCCUGCUGGUUAGCAACCUCAAUGAGGAGAUGGUUACGCCCCAAAGUCUGUUUACCCUCUUCGGAGUGUAUGGUGAUGUCCAGAGGGUGAAAAUUCUUUACAACAAGAAGGACAGUGCUCUCAUACAGAUGUCCGAAUCCAAUCAGGCCCAGCUAGGUGAGUGGAUAUCAUCUCACCCUCUGUUAUAUGGAUGUCUGACUUGUCUGUAUUGCAAGUCCCGUAGUAUGCUGUGUAAUAGAUAUUUUGGUCCUGUGUUGAUCAUUACACUUGCUACUUUUCUUAAAUGUAAUGCAGCACAGUCAUUACUUGCCAGAGAAAGUAAUUCUGUACACGACUUGUUCUGUUACUUUUUUACUCAGUAAAAUGAGCUGAAAUGCAGGUUUGUAUAAUUGCCAGCUAACAAUGCAAACAUUAGGCUACAGUCCCACACACCAGCACAAAUGCAUAUCAUGAGGACACAUACACACUGUCUUUUACAUUUUUACAUAAGAACACAAAGCAAAGAUGAAAACCAGUGAUUUUACUGUAGAAACACACGCAUAGGUAGAAAUAGAGGCUACAGUGCUCAAGGCUGACUGUUCAUCGCUGCCUUUGUUACACGUGGUUCGGGGUCAGCAUGCACUCAGCUUUUUCAUUGGCUUGUUCUGUGUCUGCAUGUUUUCUGCAGGUAUUUUAAAAGUGAUGAAGUUAGCAGUGUAACGUGGUUAUUUGUCCUGGAUGCAGUUUGCAAUUUACCAGCGCACUGUUAUCCAUUUGUGCAAAAACAAAAUAAAAUAAAAAAUAAAGAGUCCUUCUGUGUGCCAACAUACAGCACACUCAAGCCCCUUUUCCAUUAGUACAUAUUCACGUCGGCUCGCCACAGUUUUCAGGGUUUGCCAUUAGGUCAUAGUACCAGGUACCAGGUCCUUUAUUAGAACCUACUUGGCCGUGGUUCCAAAUGAUCCCAAAAUGUGAUGUCAACAGACUGCAUGCCACCUAUUGGCUAGUCAGUGGCGUCACGAGAGCGUCUCAUUCAUGAAAAUCAAAACCGCCGUUUUUAAAACCUGGCAACAAGGGAAAUGGCUAGAAAAAACAACGCCACGGUCCACAGACCGAGCAGCAGGCAUAUCGUCGCCUCGACCGUCCACCUUUUGUUGUAGCGUUCGCGUCACAUACUAAUUACGUCACAGAACGCCCAACGGUGUUGCUAUGACAAUGACAAUGCACAGUUCUUGCAUUUCUAAGGCUUCCUGUUGCCACCAAAUCUGUGAGAAGGCGAGGUAAGGAAGACAGAGCCCCUGCAGGACUACAGACUGGGACAUGCUCUGGGGUGAUCGUGGCUCAAGAGUUGGGAGUUCGCCUUAUAAUCGGAAGGUUGCCGGUUCGAGCCCCGGCUUGGACA